rnacentral:rRNA from 1 species
UUAAGCGACUAAGCGUACACGGUGGAUGCCCUGGCAGUCAGAGGCGAUGAAGGACGUGCUAAUCUGCGAUAAGCGUCGGUGAGGUGAUAUGAACCGUUAUAACCGGCGAUUUCCGAAUGGGGAAACCCAGUGUGAUUCGUCACACUAUCAUUAACUGAAUCCAUAGGUUAAUGAGGCGAACCGGGGGAACUGAAACAUCUAAGUACCCCGAGGAAAAGAAAUCAACCGAGAUUCCCCCAGUAGCGGCGAGCGAACGGGGAGGAGCCCAGAGCCUGAAUCAGUGUGUGUGUUAGUGGAAGCGUCUGGAAAGGCGCGCGAUACAGGGUGACAGCCCCGUACACAAAAAUGCACAUAUUGUGAGCUCGAUGAGUAGGGCGGGACACGUGGUAUCCUGUCUGAAUAUGGGGGGACCAUCCUCCAAGGCUAAAUACUCCUGACUGACCGAUAGUGAACCAGUACCGUGAGGGAAAGGCGAAAAGAACCCCGGCGAGGGGAGUGAAAAAGAACCUGAAACCGUGUACGUACAAGCAGUGGGAGCCUCUUAAUGGGGUGACUGCGUACCUUUUGUAUAAUGGGUCAGCGACUUAUAUUCUGUAGCAAGGUUAACCGAAUAGGGGAGCCGAAGGGAAACCGAGUCUUAACUGGGCGUUAAGUUGCAGGGUAUAGACCCGAAACCCGGUGAUCUAGCCAUGGGCAGGUUGAAGGUUGGGUAACACUAACUGGAGGACCGAACCGACUAAUGUUGAAAAAUUAGCGGAUGACUUGUGGCUGGGGGUGAAAGGCCAAUCAAACCGGGAGAUAGCUGGUUCUCCCCGAAAGCUAUUUAGGUAGCGCCUCGUGAAUUCAUCUCCGGGGGUAGAGCACUGUUUCGGCAAGGGGGUCAUCCCGACUUACCAACCCGAUGCAAACUGCGAAUACCGGAGAAUGUUAUCACGGGAGACACACGGCGGGUGCUAACGUCCGUCGUGAAGAGGGAAACAACCCAGACCGCCAGCUAAGGUCCCAAAGUCAUGGUUAAGUGGGAAACGAUGUGGGAAGGCCCAGACAGCCAGGAUGUUGGCUUAGAAGCAGCCAUCAUUUAAAGAAAGCGUAAUAGCUCACUGGUCGAGUCGGCCUGCGCGGAAGAUGUAACGGGGCUAAACCAUGCACCGAAGCUGCGGCAGCGACACUAUGUGUUGUUGGGUAGGGGAGCGUUCUGUAAGCCUGUGAAGGUGGCCUGUGAGGGUUGCUGGAGGUAUCAGAAGUGCGAAUGCUGACAUAAGUAACGAUAAAGCGGGUGAAAAGCCCGCUCGCCGGAAGACCAAGGGUUCCUGUCCAACGUUAAUCGGGGCAGGGUGAGUCGACCCCUAAGGCGAGGCCGAAAGGCGUAGUCGAUGGGAAACAGGUUAAUAUUCCUGUACUUGGUGUUACUGCGAAGGGGGACGGAGAAGGCUAUGUUGGCCGGGCGACGGUUGUCCCGGUUUAAGCGUGUAGGCUGGUUUUCCAGGCAAAUCCGGAAAAUCAAGGCUGAGGCGUGAUGACGAGGCACUACGGUGCUGAAGCGACAAAUGCCCUGCUUCCAGGAAAAGCCUCUAAGCAUCAGGUAACAUCAAAUCGUACCCCAAACCGACACAGGUGGUCAGGUAGAGAAUACCAAGGCGCUUGAGAGAACUCGGGUGAAGGAACUAGGCAAAAUGGUGCCGUAACUUCGGGAGAAGGCACGCUGAUAUGUAGGUGAAGCGACUUGCUCGUGGAGCUGAAAUCAGUCGAAGAUACCAGCUGGCUGCAACUGUUUAUUAAAAACACAGCACUGUGCAAACACGAAAGUGGACGUAUACGGUGUGACGCCUGCCCGGUGCCGGAAGGUUAAUUGAUGGGGUUAGCGGCAACGCGAAGCUCUUGAUCGAAGCCCCGGUAAACGGCGGCCGUAACUAUAACGGUCCUAAGGUAGCGAAAUUCCUUGUCGGGUAAGUUCCGACCUGCACGAAUGGCGUAAUGAUGGCCAGGCUGUCUCCACCCGAGACUCAGUGAAAUUGAACUCGCUGUGAAGAUGCAGUGUACCCGCGGCAAGACGGAAAGACCCCGUGAACCUUUACUAUAGCUUGACACUGAACAUUGAGCCUUGAUGUGUAGGAUAGGUGGGAGGCUUUGAAGUGUGGACGCCAGUCUGCAUGGAGCCGACCUUGAAAUACCACCCUUUAAUGUUUGAUGUUCUAACGUGGGCCCGUAAUCCGGGUUGCGGACAGUGUCUGGUGGGUAGUUUGACUGGGGCGGUCUCCUCCUAAAGAGUAACGGAGGAGCACGAAGGUUGGCUAAUCCUGGUCGGACAUCAGGAGGUUAGUGCAAUGGCAUAAGCCAGCUUGACUGCGAGCGUGACGGCGCGAGCAGGUGCGAAAGCAGGUCAUAGUGAUCCGGUGGUUCUGAAUGGAAGGGCCAUCGCUCAACGGAUAAAAGGUACUCCGGGGAUAACAGGCUGAUACCGCCCAAGAGUUCAUAUCGACGGCGGUGUUUGGCACCUCGAUGUCGGCUCAUCACAUCCUGGGGCUGAAGUAGGUCCCAAGGGUAUGGCUGUUCGCCAUUUAAAGUGGUACGCGAGCUGGGUUUAGAGCGUCGUGAGACAGUUCGGUCCCUAUCUGCCGUGGGCGCUGGAGAACUGAGGGGGCUGCUCCUAGUACGAGAGGACCGGAGUGGACGCAUCACUGGUGUUCGGGUUGUCAUGCCAAUGGCACUGCCCGGUAGCUAAAUGCGGAAGAGAUAAGUGCUGAAAGCAUCUAAGCACGAAACUUGCCCCGAGAUGAGUUCUCCCUGACCCUUUAAGGGUCCUGAAGGAACGUUGAAGACGACGACGUUGAUAGGCCGGGUGUGUAAGCGCAGCGAUGCGUUGAGCUAACCGGUACUAAUGAACCGUGAGGCUUAACCUU